UAUCACCUCCUCUUCAGUAAAAUGUUUCCAUUUCUUCUAAUUACGAAAUGUCCGAUAUAGCACUACUAAAUAAAUCGACCUGUUUUCAUGUUAUCUGUUAACUUCUCCGAUAAGUAUACUCAUUUUCUUUAUUUAUAUCAACCGACCUCAACAAGCAAGUUUGAUGGCCGCUGUGUAAGAAACCGGGCCUACUCGCACAUCAUUCAUAAAAAAGAAAAGAGAAAGCGAAAAAGAGGCGAAAAGGGAGAAGAGAAGCAGUUUAAAUAACACCCUUGACCUGACUGUUCUAAAUAUAGCGAACGCCACUUAUACAGUUUUUGCCAACCUAAGGUAGAUAUUAAGUCGGGGCGUUUUUUUUUUCGCGUUGCAUGCGUGUUUCUCCUCGCUCAUCUCUGCAUAACGCCCCUCAGUGCGUGACUUUUUCCACCCAACUUGGUCUGACUUCUCUGCUCUAGAGUUGUUUUGUUUUAUAUUCACUCCAUUAGGAAGAAAACAUAAUCCGGUUGACCUGUGGUUGUGUUCAUAUAUAUCCGAAGAAAGCUGUUUACAGUGACUUAACGCCCAGGUUUGAUAUCCCAGACACUUCUCCGCCCUUUCAAAACUUCUCAUCAUGACUCAGUUUCAGCAUGGUCUCUUUGGUUGCUUUGACAACAUUGGCCUCUGCCUCAUCACUUACUUCGUGCCUUGCUACACCUUUGGGAAAAACGCCGAGGCUGUGGGCGACUCGUGCCUCCUGUGCGCACUGGCCUACUUUGUGCCCAUCUUGAACAUCGUAGGCCUGGUUUCAGUCCGCGGUAAAAUCCGAUCUUCUCGGAACAUAGAGGGCAGUGUCAUAACUGACAUUCUGUCGGUCAUUUGCUGUCAUCUUUGUGCACUGGUCCAAGAGGCUCAAGAGGUCCAGGCUCCAGGAGGUCAAGCCAUGGCCAGAUCAUAAAGCCAUUACACUUGUUUUUGUUUGUUUUCAUUGUAUGUUUAUAGUCUGCAACACAAUUCAAAGCAGUACGAAGUAAAGGAGAGAGUGUCUGGCUAGUUACGACAUUGCCACUGUUUCUUUGUCUAGUAGUUCUUCUUGUCAACUCAUUACAUUGGAAAGUAGAGCGUAUGUAUUUGUUGUACUUACUGUUUGAAGGGACAAAUGAAAAUAUCCCACUGUAAAAUGUUUGAACUAUUUUUUUUAAUGUAUUCAAAUACAUGUUAAUCAAUUCGUAGUGUAAUGUUUCUUUCUUUCUUUUUUUUUAAACAUUUAUUUUUCUACUUUUGUGAUAAGACUCUAAAGUAAAUAUGUGCAUGGUGUGUUCAAUAGAAUGUGUAACAGAUGUAACAAUGGUUUAAUGGAGUUUUGAUGUAACUCAUUAGUCGUUUCGUUUUUUUCCUUGUGUAUAGUGUGCUAGUUGUACAAACUAGUUAUUAGGCGCAGAGAAUGUUGUACAAACUAGUUAUCAGGUCCAUAGAAUGCAAUGAUCCACAUUGUUUUAACGGUUCUUGUUAAUGGAAACUAAUGAACGCUCUGUAUCCCAGCCACAGCUCAACUAACACAAUCUCUCUUUCCCUCACACUAACCAUUGACCUCACCUGUCAUGGCUUUUGUGUUGUUGUUUUAAUUAGUUGAGUCUAAAUGUUCGUUGAUGUAAGUUAGGUCAUUUAUAGACUUGUAAGUUAGGUCAUUUAUAGACUUGUAAGUUAGGUCAUUUUUAGACUUGUAAGUUAGGUCAUUUAUAGACUUGUAAGUUAGGUCAUUUAUAGGCUUGUAAGUUAAGUCCUUUAUAGACUUGUAAAUUAGGUCAUUUAUAGACUUUUAAGUAAGGUCAUGUAUAGACUUGUAAGUUAGGCCAAAAGUCAAAAGUAGAGGAAUUCUUACCACAACUUUUAAGUUGCCAGCUAAAGUUAUGGGAAUAAUUGACAAAAAACAACUUUUAAUGUCUCUGACAUAACAUUUCAUAAGUCGAUUUUCAUUAUUAUCAUUAUAGAAAAUGGUGACAAUCGUAAUUGUGCUAAAAUUUUGACAUUAUGAGACAUCUUGCUUCCCAGCCAAUAAUCAACUAUAUUUCAUUCUCACAGGCACAUAUAGAGGAAGCCAAAAAAAAAAAGUUUGAAUAAUUUCUUUCCUUCAAUUCCUAGAACACUUCUAAUCGAACCCAAUAUACCCAUAUUUACAACCAAUCAACAGGCUCACAUCACGACUGUACUGGAUCGUGUCAUACAUUUCGUCAUUUUGACGUCAUAUUGUUUUGUUUGAUUUACUCUGAAAAAGUGCCUUAUAAAGUUUUUAAAAGUCAUAAUCCAUUUCAAUUGUGUCAUGUAAUUGUAAACUUGUACAAAUAUAUUAUUUUUCUAUCAUUGAC